rnacentral:rRNA from 1 species
AGAAGCAGCCAUCAUUUAAAGAGUGCGUAAUAGCUCACUAGUCGAGUGACACUGCGCCGAAAAUGUACCGGGGCUAAACAUAUUACCGAAGCUGUGGAUUGUCCUUUGGACAAUGGUAGGAGAGCGUUCUAAGGGCGUUGAAGCAUGAUCGUAAGGACAUGUGGAGCGCUUAGAAGUGAGAAUGCCGGUGUGAGUAGCGAAAGACGGGUGAGAAUCCCGUCCACCGAUUGACUAAGGUUUCCAGAGGAAGGCUCGUCCGCUCUGGGUUAGUCGGGUCCUAAGCUGAGGCCGACAGGCGUAGGCGAUGGAUAACAGGUUGAUAUUCCUGUACCACCUAUAAUCGUUUUAAUCGAUGGGGGGACGCAGUAGGAUAGGCGAAGCGUGCGAUUGGAUUGCACGUCUAAGCAGUAAGGCUGAGUAUUAGGCAAA